GAUGAACGCUGGCGGCGUGCUUAACACAUGCAAGUCGAACGGAAAGGCCCUGCUUUUGUGGGGUUCUCGAGUGGCGAACGGGUGAGUAACACGUGAGUAACCUGCCCUUGACUUUGGGAUAACUUCAGGAAACUGGGGCUAAUACCGGAUAGGAGCUCCUGCUGCAUGGUGGGGGUUGGAAAGUUUCGGCGGUUGGGGAUGGACUCGCGGCUUAUCAGCUUGUUGGUGGGGUAGUGGCUUACCAAGGCUUUGACGGGUAGCCGGCCUGAGAGGGUGACCGGCCACAUUGGGACUGAGAUACGGCCCAGACUCCUACGGGAGGCAGCAGUGGGGAAUAUGGCACAAUGGGCGGAAGCCUGAUGCAGCAACGCCGCGUGCGGGAUGACGGCCUUCGGGUUGUAAACCGCUUUCGCCUGUGACGAAGCGUGAGUGACGGUAAUGGGUAAAGAAGCACCGGCUAACUACGUG
rnacentral:rRNA from 1 species